GUGAAUUUGAAACAUUUUGACAUUUCCAGUCAGGACUGAAUAUGCUGAUAAUUCGCAAAAGUCCUGAGCUGUGAAGCAAAAAGAAGGCUUUCAUCAAUCCUGGGGCUAGUCUACUUUCUGGAAUAUGUCCAUUGUAUAAUAUGAGGAAUGAGAAGGGUUAUAUUCUGCAGAAAGUUCUACAGCAUAAUAACAAAUGCAGUAACAGGUGUAUGGCUGUGGUGGAAGCUUGGUCAAAUUGAAACUGGAACAGGAAUAAACCUUUACUUCAUUUAUACUUUAGGUGACAAGGUAGCACAUUUGUACAUAAUAAGGCUGGCCUGGGGAUGGAGGGAGUCCCUGCCCUGACUGUGACUCAGUGAGACUCUUUGCCUGGUCCUAGUCCAAGAGAAACGCAUGCUAUGAUCUCACUGAAGUCUGAAGUGACUCUGAAACUUUGCAGUAAAAAGAAAAUUUCAUCCUUUAAGAUGAGUGGCCCUGGAACCACGGCAGCCAUAUUGCCACCAGCUGGAAGACGAAGCCAACGGUGGGAGAAGACAGAGCUGGUCGAAUCCCCCAGGAGUAAAAUGCAG
rnacentral:lncRNA from 10 species